rnacentral:rRNA from 1 species
CCUACGGGAGGCAGCAGUGGGGAAUAUUGCACAAUGGGGGAAACCCUGAUGCAACAACGCCGCGUGAGUGAAGAAGUAUUUCGGUAUGUAAAGCUCUAUCAGCAGGGAAGAAAAUGACAGUAUCUGACUAAGAAGCCCCGGCUAACUACGUGCCAGCAGCCGCGGUAAUACGUAGGGGGCAGGCGUUAUCCGGAUUUACUGGGUGUAAAGGGAGCGUAGACGGCUGCGCAAGUCAGAAGUGAAAGCCCGGGGCUCAACCGCGGGACUGCUUUUGAAACUGUGUAGCUAGAGUGUAGGAGAGGUAAGUGGAAUUCCUAGUGUAGCGGUGAAAUGCGUAGAUAUUAGGAGGAACACCGGUGGCGAAGGCGGCUUACUGGACUGUAACUGACGUUGAGGCUCGAAAGCGUGGGGAGCAAACAGGAUUAGAUACCCCUGUAGUC